rnacentral:rRNA from 1 species
ACGUGUCAGCAGCGGCGGUAAUACGUAGGGUGCGAGCGAUCCGGAAUUAUUGGGCGUAAAGAGCUCUUAGGCGGUUCGUCGCGUCCGUCGUGAAAGUCCGGAGCCUAACCUCGAAUCUGCGGUGGGUACGGGCAGACUAGAGUGCAGUAAGGGAGACUGGAAUUCCUGGUGUAGCGGUGGAAUGGGCAGAUAUCAGGAGGAACACCGAUGGCGAAGGCAGGUCUCUGGGCUGUAACUGACGCUGAGGAGCGAAAGCAUGGGGAGCGAACAGGAUUAGAUACCCUGGUAGUCCAUGCCGUAAACGUUGGGCACUAGGUGUGGGGACCAUUCCACGGUUUCCGCGCCGCAGCUAACGCAUUAAGUGCCCCGCCUGGGGAGUACGGCCGCAAGGCUAAAACUCAAAGGAAUUGACGGGGGCCCGCACAAGCGGCGGAGCAUGCGGAUUAAUUCGAUGCAACGCGAAGAACCUUACCAAGGCUUGACAUGUUCUCGAUCGCCGUAGAGAUACGGUUUCCCCUUUGGGGCGGGUUCACAGGUGGUGCAUGGUUGUCGUCAGCUCGUGUCGUGAGAUGUUGGGUUAAGUCCCGCAACGAGCGCAACCCUCGUUCCAUGUUGCCAGCACGUAAUGGUGGGGACUCAUGGGAGACUGCCGGGGUCAACUCGGAGGAAGGUGAGGACGACGUCAAAUCAUCAUGCCCCUUAUGUCUUGGGCUUCACGCAUGCUACAAUGGCCGGUACAAUGGGUUGCGAUACUGUGAGGUGGAGCUAAUCCCAAAAAGCCGGUCUCAGUUCGGAUUGGGGUCUGCAACUCGACCCCAUGAAGUCGGAGUCGCUAGUAAUCACAGAUCAGCAACGCUCCGGUGAAUACGUUCCCGGGCCUUGUACACACCGCCCCUCUUCCCACGAAAGUCGGUAACACCCGAAGUCGGUGGCUUAAUCCUCGUGAGA